CCCAGACUCCUACGGGAGGCAGCAGUGAGGAAUAUUGGUCAAUGGGCUUACGCCUGAACCAGCCAAGUCGCGUGAGGGAUGACGGUCCUAUGGAUUGUAAACCUCUUUUGUCAGGGAGCAAAGGGCGCCACGUGUGGCGUUUUGCGAGUACCUGAAGAAAAAGCAUCGGCUAACUCCGUGCCAGCAGCCGCGGUAAUACGGAGGAUGCGAGCGUUAUCCGGAUUUAUUGGGUUUAAAGGGUGCGCAGGCGGAAUGUCAAGUCAGCGGUAAAAUUUCGGGGCUCAACCCCGUCGUGCCGUUGAAACUGGCGUUCUUGAGUGAGCGAGAAGUAUGCGGAAUGCGUGGUGUAGCGGUGAAAUGCAUAGAUAUCACGCAGAACCCCGAUUGCGAAGGCAGCAUGCCGGCUUCCGACUGACGCUGAAGCACGAAAGCGUGGGGAUCGAACAGGAUUAGAUACCCCAGUA
rnacentral:rRNA from 1 species